GGGUCAGCAGCGAGCGGAGCUACCGUUAACCAGGGUGUAAAGUACAGUUAAAGAAACUCCGCCGAUUAACUUAGCCUUUUAACCGCUGCACAGACACGGAGCUACUCUGUUGGACGAGCUGCCGUUUUGUGAUUUUCUUCCCGGAAAGCUCCAGCGGGCUCCUCUGACAGCCGUCGGGCCUCGUCGUCGUCGUGGUCCGGCAGGACUCGAGUGAAGUUGGGAGCGGACUGCCAAACUUCUGCUUCCUCCAGCGGCUCUCCGCAGGGCCCGGGGCUCCUGUCACUGGCCCUGUGGAUGAGGAAGUGACUACACAUCUAAUCAGUGCCCAGGAGAAAGGAAUCCCUUUGAUGGGAGAAUCCUCUUUUCUGGCCUCCUGGGUCAAUCGCCGUGCCAUUAAGAUGGAUGAGCAGGAGGCGCUGAACUCCAUCAUGCAGGACUUGGCCGAACUGCACCGCUCCAGUCGUCCUGCCACGUUCCUUGGGGACCUGUGCAAACCCAAAGCGUCCUCGCCCAAGAACCAGAACGAUGUGAGGGUGAAGUUUGAGUUCAAAGGGGAGAAGAGGAUUUUGCAGUUUCCUCGACCCGUCAAGCUGGAGGACCUGAGGUCAAAAGCUAAAGUGGCUUUCGGUCAGACAAUGGACCUUCACUACACAAACAAUGAGUUGGUGAUCCCAUUGACCACUCAGGAUGACCUGGAUAAGGCUGUAGAGCUUCUGGAUCGCAGUGUUCACAUGAAGAGUCUAAAGAUCCUCCUCGUGCUCCAGGUCUCUUCUGAGAACUCUUCAUCUAACAUGGACCUCCUGCCGUCCCACGAGGAGUUGGACAACACGGGAUUCCGGGUCGCUGACAAGAAGAGCAUGCUGGCUUUGAUAGGUUCCCACUCAACAGACCGCAGCUCUCCUCCUCCGGGAUACAUUCCCGACGCUCUGCAGCAGGUGGCGAGGAACGGCUCCUUCACCAGCAUCAACAGCGAAGGGGAGUUCAUCCCUGAGAGCAUGGACCAGAUGUUGGACCCUCUGUCCAUGAGCAGCCCGGAGAAUUCGGCUUCUGGAAGUUGUCCCUCCUUAGACAGCCCGCUGGACAGUGACUACCCAAAGUCCAGGAUGCCCAGAGCUCAGAGCUACCCAGACAACCACCAGGACUUUCCAGAGUACGACAUCCCCGUGUUUGAGAAGUCGGGGAAAGGAGGGACGUAUCCUCGCCGAUAUGGUAUUCCCUUUGGCCUUCAGGAUUACAGUGACGGGAGGAAGACUUUCCCUCGGGCUCGGCGGACGCAGGUUCACAGUUUCCGCUCGCCGAUCAGCUUCAGCCCGACCGAGCAGUCUCCCAGCACCAGCAGCGGCAGCAGCGUCUUCACCCCCGACCUGGAGGAGGCCCCCGGGCCCGCCAGGAGGCCGCGGAGGGGCAGCGACAUCGAGCCAAACCCCAAUCCAGCCGUGCCUCCGACGCUCUCCGUCAUGGACAUCAGUCCACCCAGUCGCUCUCCGCGAGCGCCAACCAACUGGCGGCUGGGGAAGCUUCUGGGUCAGGGGGCGUUCGGACGGGUCUUCCUGUGUUAUGACGCCGAUACUGGACGGGAACUAGCAGUUAAACAAGUCCAGUUUGAUCCAGAGAGUCCCGAGACCAGCAAGGAGGUGAGCGCGUUGGAAUGUGAAAUCCAGCUUCUGAAAAACUUGUGCCACGAGCGGAUCGUCCAGUAUUACGGCUGCUUACGAGAUACGAUGGAGCGAACGCUCUCCAUCUUUAUGGAGUACAUGCCUGGAGGCUCCAUUAAAGACCAGCUGAAGUCGUACGGCGCGCUGACGGAAAACGUGACGCGCCGCUACACCAGGCAGAUCCUGGAGGGGGUUUCCUACCUGCACAGCAACAUGAUCGUCCACAGGGACAUCAAAGGUGCCAACAUCCUCCGAGACUCGGUGGGUAACGUGAAGCUGGGCGACUUCGGGGCCAGCAGGCGGCUGCAGACCAUCUGUCUGUCAGGAACAGGCAUCAAGUCGGUGACCGGCACCCCGUACUGGAUGAGCCCAGAGGUGAUCAGCGGAGAGGGGUACGGCAGGAAGGCUGACAUCUGGAGUGUCGGCUGCACCGUCGUGGAGAUGCUGACACAGCGACCUCCAUGGGCGGAGUUUGAGGCCAUGGCCGCCAUCUUCAAGAUCGCCACGCAGCCCACUAACCCCGUCCUGCCCGCCCACGUGUCGGACCACUGCCGGGAGUUCCUCAAGCGGAUCUUCGUGGAGACCAAGCAGCGGCCGUCUGCAGACGAGCUGCUCAGGCACAUCUUUGUACAUUAACACACACAAACCCGAAAUCUUGAACCCCCGCCUGCCUGCCGAACUGCCAAAUACGGCCUUAUCUGAACUUGCCCCCCCCCCCUCCACCUUCAUGCUGAGACCACAUUGGACCAGGAAGGACUGGCUGGAAGAAGGUGGGGGGGCUCCUCCUGUCUCUGUUUGUAUGAGACUGCCAUAAAGGACACAAAUUUUUAUGUUAGUUUUCUCCGCAAGUUGCACCUUAACGUCUCCAACGUGGAGGAGGUCGCGCACUUCCUCCUCCUCCUCUUUGACAAACAUUUUUUUUUUUUUUUUAAAUGUUUUUACGGUUUCUCGCUCUGUGUGUUUUGGAGCAGGAUGGCGUCUGUGUUGUGGACCUACAGGAGCUGAUGCCUGACUCUGGAGUAAAUCCCACCCCUACCCCCCAAAUGUCUCGCUGACCCGACCCCAGAAUGUAGUCUCCUGCCAAAACCCAGAGCGACGGGCGCGCUGCUAUAGACAAACCUGAAUCUCAGACUCAAAUCCGGAGAACACUCCCCGAGAAGUUUCCACCUGCCUGCCCUCAUCCCUCGCUGAAGACUGCCUUCACACCAGCUGAUCCCCGUUCAGCCGUUUCUGCCUUUCUGUGCCGGGGACCCGCUGUGCUGAUCAUUCGGUUUGUUCGUCCGCCUGCUGUACCAGCUCCGCCGGCUGGAAACCAAAUAUCCUCUGUUUGAAAAGUUGUCGUGCUGGUGUAGAAGUGAAGCGCCACAUCGGUACCUGUGCUCUCUUUCCUCCUCUGCUUCUCCAAGGUCUCUCUGAUCUGAUUGGAUGAACCCUUAUCACGGCAGAUUAGCAGCAGAUUAAUGAAUUUACUGCAGAUAGAUGUUGGCUUUUAGCAGCUUCGAGUCAGUUCAGCCGCAUGAAGCAAGCCAGGAGUAUUUACACAACCAGACUUUAAAGGUGAAGCGUGUUGUUGCUUUUAAUACAUUAGAAACUCAACUAAAAUACAUCCAUGUCCUUGUUAGACCACCAUAACUAAGGUGGGAAGGUGAUUGAUUGUGGCUUUCAGUCCAACGCUGUAACACUGCUCAGAUAUUCUGUUUUUGUCUGUUUAAACCGUUUGAUUUGUUUUGCCACUCAUGUUGAAGGAGCCCUAACAAGGGCUGAAGCUGCUGGUGAGCGAAAGCUGGCCAGGUAGGGUUUGUUUUAGUCUGCAGUGCUUACGGCAUCCCUUGGACAAGGAGGUCAGGUCCAUGCAGGUCAUGUAGCUUCACCAGUAGUUCAGCUUUUCUGGGGAUGGUGAACGUGUGCAUGUCAGAGAGCCAGUCAGUACUUAAAUGUGCUCAAAAAAGAUAAAAUUUGGUGCUUUCAUCAUAGUGAGACCCUCUGCCAUGAUGAGGACUUGAGCACUCAGCUUGGAGAUGCAGGGGAGGAAAAUUUGAAGAUCUCGUUCUGUUGUCCGUUUCAUUUCAAACUAACCGUUUUUAGCUGCUUAUCAUUUAACCGACAGGUACUCGCGGCCUCUCCUCGUGCUCCACCGCUGCAGUCGGUACAUUCAUCGCCGCUUUCAGACAGGCUCGCAGAGCUCCGUUCUCACGUUUAACGCUUGGUACUGCGGUCCCUGUCGCCGCCGAAUCAAAUGCAUCAGAGUUAACUCGUCACUUUAACCGCAAACGCUCCGUUCAGCACGUCUGGCUUUAAAGCAUCGACUCCACGACUAUGCACACGCCGGCCAGCAGGACCAACGUAGUCUGUCACUGAUACAUUGGCUCGUGAUGACCACUUUUUUUUUUUUUUUUUCCUUCCCCCCUUUUUUGUUUUGGGGAGGAACGAUGAUGUUUUUGAGCAGCUCGGCCAGCAGCCAAUCAAAUCCUGUUUGGUGAAAAUGUCCCACAUUAAAGACUUCUGAUUUUUAGGACUCAAAAGUUGCCUUAAAUAUUGGGCAUUUGCAGCAAAUGGUACAGGCAGUCCAUGUACAAACUUUCUAAAUGUUAAAAUAAUGACGGAAAUCAGUCUUGUGGGAGUUAUUGUUAUGCUGCUAAUAGUAAAAUAUUUUUAGGUUUAAAGAGACGAUAUGCAAACCUUUUCUCCUCAUCAGAGAUGGUUUCUGCAGAGCAGGUGAGAAAACAUUUCUGGUGCAAUCAGCAACAUUUGACCAGCAGUGAAAGUGACUGUGACUCUUUUAAAGUUAAUCAGACCCUCCUCAGCUCCCCCACCUUUCACUCUGCACUCAGUUUUAAUUUGAACUCUUUGUCUGAACAGGUGGAAGAGCACAUCUCCAGCACCUUUCUGUUCUGCUUUACUACUCACUAAUUACCAGGAUGAGCUUUUAUUGCGGUGGUUAGAUCGUUGGGUCUGUAAUUUACAUUUUUAGCUUAGAGUAGCAGUCGGAGGGCUUUGAAGCGUCGUUGUCCAAAUAUUUGAUUGUAAUGUCUGUUUUUUUUUUUUCUUUUCUUAUAUAGACGUUACCAUAAAAGUCCCUAAAAAGCAUUGCGUAAUUUUUCCAGCUGUUUUGAUUAGUUUUUCUUAGACUGGAAGAGAUUAAAUCUUCAGUGAUGUGUGAGAAUAUGGCAGGAUUACAGGUUACAGUAGCAGGAUGUGAAGAAAUGACACUUAAUCGGUGCCAAUAAUCUCAGUUAGCAUGUUGCUUUUAUGAAUUGUUUUGUUGCAGCAUGCAGAUACCUGCUAAUUAGAACCACAGAGCUCUUGGACGAGCUGUGCCGAGCAUAUUAUUUAUUAGAUAAUGGCAUUAAAAAUGCUCCAGAAGAGAGAAACAGCACAAACAGGGGUCGAGAUGUUCGGUUCAGCUGCAGCUGCCUGUCAGUGUGGCCACACCCCCUUCUUUAAACCUUGAGACGGUCUGAUUGGAUGAGGAUUUUGGAGGUGGCCACUAGAGGAACUGCAGUUUCAGAAGCUUCCCUGGAGGUUCCUGCUUGGGUUCUGCAGUCUGGAAUAAUUUCAGAUAGUACGAAGAUUUUUGGCGUUCACAUUAAUGCAGUGUGAUGGCUUCUUAAUCACUGCAGCUGAAGAGAAGAUUUAAAUAGUUACAGCUUCUUAGGCCCGACCCUGAAACCUCUGCAGAGGUACGAGUAUAAAAAGUAAACAUUAUGCACUUGUAGUGACUAUUAGGCGUUACUAGUCAGAUUUUCCCGAUUGCACCGUUUUUUUUAAAGGCAGGAGGAGGCGGUUUCUGUGACCUCCUUUUGCCCUGACUUCCUCUGAAGGCACUUAACUGCUCUUGAGCCUUUCCUGCUCUGUGGAAACUUUUUACACUCAUUAUGCAUCUUCUCAGCGGUACGUCGCUUGGAGUUUCAGGCGACUCACGGUAAACCGUCUAGUACCGAUGGAGAUCGCCAGCACUGGUCGUCAUAGAUACGCACUACCAUUAUGCACUAUCUGUUUCUCACUGAUGCCCCCCCCACCCCACCCCACGGUUCCUGACGCUCGUGCAGCUCGGAUCGGCGACUUUUUCUUUGCACAUUUUUAAAGACUGUUUUUUUUUUUUAAUUUUUAGUGUGUGUGUGUGUGUGUGUGUGUGUGAGAGAGAUGAUGAUGAUGAUGGCGGGUCGGUUAAUCUUCACAUGAAUGUAACGUCUCAUUCUUGGCCUCGUUCACCACAGCGGUACCGGUAUUUGUCACCUGCGGAGUGCCAAGAUACACCUGUAGUUCUCGUUUAAAGCCACUGCUGCCACUCCUGAAUCAACGAAUGAAUGUGUGUGUGUGUGUGUGUGUGUGUGUGUGUUAAUGUGCAUUUACUGCAGAUGUUGCUCAUUGGACACUGCGCCUGAAAUGCCUUGAGCAUUCUGACUGUAGGGGAUGAGAGCGUUAAAAUAAAAAGAAAUCUUGUACAGAAGUGUAAAAAUGAAAUUGUACUUUUUUUUUUUCUUUUUUUUUAAGGAAACUUAUAUCCCACAUGUUUGGUCUGUGUAUUGUAAAAGAAGCCAUGUUUAUAAUUCUAAUUGGUUUAUGACCAAUACGCCUGUUUAUAUCAGAUCUGUAUAUCAGUGGUACGCAUAAUUUUUUAAUAUAUUUUUUAUUUUUCCUUUUUUUUUUCUUUUUCAAUGGGAGAUUGUAUGCAUGGUUGGGUCCUGAGAGACGCAGCAGUGCCGUCAAAUUAUUAUUAUUUUUUUUAAUUGGCAAAAUUGCAAGAGCUCAAUGUUCAUAAUUACAACAAUUAUGAUGAUGAAAACAAUAAAAGAUAUUUAUUUCA